GAUGAACGCUGACAGAAUGCUUAACACAUGCAAGUCAACUUGAAUUUGGGUUUUUAACUUAGGUUUGGGUGGCGGACGGGUGAGUAACGCGUAAAGAACUUGCCUCACAGCUAGGGACAACAUUUGGAAACGAAUGCUAAUACCUAAUAUUAUGAUAAUAGGGCAUCCUAUAAUUAUGAAAGCUAUAAGCGCUGAGAGAGAGCUUUGCGUCCCAUUAGCUAGUUGGAGAGGUAACGGCUCACCAAGGCGAUGAUGGGUAGCCGGCCUGAGAGGGUGAUCGGCCACAAGGGGACUGAGACACGGCCCUUACUCCUACGGGAGGCAGCAGUGGGGAAUAUUGGACAAUGGACCGAGAGUCUGAUCCAGCAAUUCUGUGUGCACGAUGAAGUUUUUCGGAAUGUAAAGUGCUUUCAGUUGGGAAGAAACAAAUGACGGUACCAACAGAAGAAGUGACGGCUAAAUACGUG
rnacentral:rRNA from 1 species